rnacentral:rRNA from 1 species
UCCUACGGGGGGCAGCAGUGAGGAAUAUUGGUCAAUGGCCGAGAGGCUGAACCAGCCAAGUCGCGUGAGGGAAGAAUGUCCUAUGGAUUGUAAACCUCUUUUGUCAGGGAGCAAAGUCACCCACGUGUGGGUGUUGGAGAGUACCUGAAGAAUAAGCACCGGCUAACUACGUGCCAGCAGCCGCGGUAAUACGUAGGGUGCGAGCGUUAAUCGGAAUUACUGGGCGUAAAGGGUGUGCAGGCGGCUGAGUAAGACAGAUGUGAAAUCCCCGGGCUUAACCUGGGAACCGCAUAUGUGACUGCUUG